rnacentral:rRNA from 1 species
GAUGAACGCUGGCGGCGUGCCUAAUACAUGCAAGUCGAGCGAACGGACGAGAAGCUUGCUUCUCUGAUGUUAGUGGCGGACGGGUGAGUAACACGUGGAUAACCCACCUAUAUGACUGGGAUAACUUCGGGAAACCGGAGCUAAUACCGGAUGAUAUUCUGAACCGCAUGGUUCAAAAGUGAAAGACGGUCUUGCUGUCACUUAUAGAUGGAUCCGCGCUGCAUUAGCUAGUUGGUAAGGUAACGGCUUACCAAGGCAACGAUGCAUAGCCGACCUGAGAGGGUGUUCGGCCACACUGGACCUGAGCCGCGGUCCAGACUCCGACGGAAAGCCGCAGCAGGGACUCCUCUGCUACGAGCGAGAGUCUGAUGCUGCAACAGCGCGGAAGUACUGAAGAAGUUCAGACCGGUAACAGGUGAUAUAAGGGAAGAACAUAUGUGUAAGUAGCUGUUCACAGAUUGACGGUACCUAAACAGCAUGCCACGGCUAACUACGUU